AGAGUUUGAUCCUGGCUCAGAACGAACGUUGGCGGCGUGGAUUAGGCAUGCAAGUCGAACGAAUCCCGUCUCUCACCCUGCCCUCUCUCGGAAGAGCGAGGGUGCGGUGAGGGACGGGGAAAGUGGCGAAAGGGGCAGUAAUGCGUGGGUAACCUACCUCGGGGACGGGGAUAGCCUUCCUAACGGAAGGGUAAUACCUGGCGAUUCGGCGAGAGGACAUCCUCAUGCCGGGAAACGAGUUUCGCCUCGGGAGGGGCUCACGUGAUAUUAGCUAGUUGGUGAGGUAAUGGCUCACCAAGGCAAAGAUGUCUAGCGGGUGUGAGAGCACGACCCGCGCCACUGGCACUGAGACACUGGCCAGACACCUACGGGUGGCUGCAGUCGAGGAUCUUCGGCAAUGGGCGCAAGCCUGACCGAGCGACGCCGCGUGUGCGAUGAAGGCCUUCGGGUUGUAAAGCACUGUCGAGGGGGAGGAAGCCGCAAGGUUGACCUAUCCCUGGAGGAAGCACGGGCUAAGUUCGUGCCAGCAGCCGCGGUAAGACGAACCGUGCGAACGUUGUUCGGAAUCACUGGGCUUAAAGGGCGCGUAGGCGGGUUUUCAAGUCUGCGGUGAAAGCCUCCAGCUUAACUGGAGAAGUGCCGUGGAUACUGAGGACCUCGAGGUGGGUAGGGGCAUCUGGAACAGCCGGUGGAGCGGUGAAAUGCGUUGAUAUCGGCUGGAACUCCGAU
rnacentral:rRNA from 1 species